rnacentral:rRNA from 1 species
UAUGGCGACCGGCGCACGGGUGAGUAACACGUAUCCAACCUGCCGAUGACUCGGGGAGAGCCUUUCGAAAGAAAGAUUAAUACCCGAUGGCAUAGUUCUUCCGCAUGGUAGAACUAUUAAAGAAUUUCGGUCAUCGAUGGGGAUGCGUUCCAUUAGCUUGUUGGCGGGGUAACGGCCCACCAAGGCAUCGAUGGAUAGGGGUUCUGAGAGGAAGGUCCCCCACAUUGGAACUGAGACACGGUCCAAACUCCUACGGGAGGCAGCAG